CAAACGUUUGUUGCCUUUUUUUCUUUGUAAGGCUUUGUAAACAUUUCCCAAACUUGGUUUAAGUAUGUGUAUCGCGUAUUUGGUGGAAACUGGAAAUGUGACCACAGAUUAUCAGAGGGUCAUAUGGUAGUUUCCAGCUAGUCCGUAACUGGAACUAGCUACCAAACCGCUUCUGACAAAAAUAACACAAUUGUAUGACAGACAACACUUGCUCAUCAACUUUCACUUCCUGACCUGACUGUUCUAACUUUCACUUCCUCAAUCUCAGUCAAUACAUGCACAACAUUUAUUAACA